CAGUAGCCGCGGGAACACGUAGGGUGCGAGCGUUAAUCGGAAUUACUGGGCGUAAAGCGUGCGUAGGCGGUUGUGUAAGACAGGUGUGAAAUCCCCGGGCUUAACCUGGGAACUGCGCUUGUGACUGCACAGCUAGAGUAUGGCAGAGGGGGGUGGAAUUCCACGUGUAGCAGUGAAAUGCGUAGAGAUGUGGAGGAACACCGAUGGCGAAGGCAGCCCCCUGGGCCAAUACUGACGCUCAUGCACGAAAGCGUGGGGAGCAAACAGGAUUAGAUACCCCUGUAGUCCCUGUCUCUUAUAA
rnacentral:rRNA from 1 species